GUGGGUAAAAAUGGACGAAAAGUUAAGGCUAUAGCCUUACUUUUUUGCUGUUUUUGGCCCACUUAUGAAAAAUGACAUAAGUGGCUAAAAAUGGACGAAAAGUUAAGGCUAUAGCCUUAUUUUUUGCUGUUUUUGGCCCUCUUAUGAAAAAUGACAUAAGUGGCUAAAAAUGGACGAAAAGUUAAGGCUAUAGCCUUACUUUUUUGCUGUUUUUGGCCCACUUAUGAAAAAUGACAUAAGUGGCUAAAAAUGGACGAAAAGUUAAAGCUAUAGCCUUACUUUUUUGCUGUUUUUGGCCCACUUAUGAAAAAUGACAUAAGUGGCUAAAAAUGGACGAAAAGUUAAGGCUAUAGCCUUACUUUUUUGCUGUUUUUGGCCCACUUAUGAAAAAUGACAUAAGUAGCUAAAAAUGGAC